GACGAACGCUGGCGGCGUGCCUAAUACAUGCAAGUAGAACGCUGAAGAGAGGGGCUUGCUCUUCUUGGAUGAGUUGCGAACGGGUGAGUAACGCGUAGGUAACCUGCCUGGUAGCGGGGGAUAACUAUUGGAAACGAUAGCUAAUACCGCAUAAAAUUGAUUAUUGCAUGAUAAUUAAUUGAAAGAUGCAACUGCAUCACUACCAGAUGGACCUGCGUUGUAUUAGCUAGUUGGUGAGGUAACGGCUCACCAAGGCGACGAUACAUAGCCGACCUGAGAGGGUGAUAGGCCACACUGGGACUGAGACACGGCCCAGACGCCUACGGGAGGCAGCAGUAGGGAAUCUUCGGCAAUGGGGGGAACCCUGACCGAGCAACGCCGCGUGAGUGAAGAAGGUUGUCGGAUCGUAAAGCUCUGUUGUAAGAGAAGAACGGGUGUGAGAGUGGAAAGUUCACACUGUGACGGUAUCUUACCAGAAAGGGACGGCUAACUACGUG
rnacentral:rRNA from 1 species